GCAGUUCCGUUUCUCCAAUGGCGUCAUGUAUAUAAAGGGACCAUGACGUCAUCCGCGCACAAUUGUUUCUCGGCGUAGCGUAGUGCGGACGUUUGUGUAGUGCGGUGCAACCAAGUUCUACAAAAAUUCCAUUGGGCGUUGUGCCUAAUCGGAUACAGUCCCAUUGCGUUUCGCGUGGGCCUGCAUCCGAUGGCCGCCAUCUUGGUUGCCGCGGGGGCGUGCUCGGAGCUAACUACGAUGUGGGUUUGUAAACGGUAUCAUGCAUUUUAAUUAGUUUUAUAAAUCGUAUAAUUUUAUUGUUGAAUUGUUAGUAAUUUAUUUCAGUUAGCUAUUUUAAAUGGUCGAUUGGAAUUUAAAAUUUUAUUCAUAUUGAAUAAGAAAAUUGUAACUUAUAUUUAAGUCAGAAUGAAAUAAAUGAAUUUAAAACAUAUGAUCAGAAUUUAAUUUCAAUCUCUCUUUUUGUAUUUUUGAAAUUUCACCCAACAUGUAUUAUUCCAUGAGUCAUCGCCGACCGCGCGGACAACAUGGCGGUCGAGAUCCUGACGACUACCUGCGUAGAUUAUAGAACGCUGAGUUGGGAGUUGUGCAUCUCUGCGCUUGCUGCCUUACGAGGCUGCGUAGAACAACCCUGCUUCACACGCUAAUCGAUCUGGUCCGGUACACAGCCCAUAUAGGUAAACGUUAGGUUGCGCAAUAAUAUCCUAACUUGCAUACCUAAUGUCCCGCAAAGGACAUUUUGUUUUGUUGUAUUUCGAGUACAGAUACGAGACCGUAUGCUGGCGAAAUCCGAGCUCGCAGUCGCAGCCAACAACCGGUGAUGCGUAUAGCUUGGAACGCACAAUGAAACGAAAUAUUCGUAAGAUUCCGAUGUAUUUGUAAGAUUUGAUAAUAGGGUGAGUUCCCAUAUAUCUGACAGAUAAUUAGUGGAAGAACUUAAUGUCUUUGAUAGGGCGUGUUGUGUUUCUUUGACCUUUAAACCCAAACAGGCAUUUAGCAUCUGCACAUUACUUCAAACUAGAACAGUGAGAUACUCCACGACACCAAAUAAUUGUUUGCUAGCAGACAAACAUUUUACUGGCUGUUAUAAUCGAAGUCACAAUCUGAAAUUACAAAGGACCAAGGUUUUUAACAAGCAAAAAUGGGCUGAUGUAUCUUUUCACGUGCAACCAAAUAAACAUAAAUCUAUUACGAUACCAGAUAACUUCAUACAAAAUAGUAUUAUACUCCGAACUAUAUCGAAACCAAAAGUAAAUUAAGUAAAGGGAAGCCGAGAGACACUUUAUCAAUGCUUGUCGCCUGGGCGUCGUGGUGAUGCAAGAUCGUUGUAAAACACGUUAUUAUGAGCUCAAUGUGGUGGACCUUCAGGAAGAAGGAAACACUGCUGCUAAAAUCGAUGUCACCACGUCCCACAAAGCAGAUGAGUUGAUCUCUCGCUAACGUAGGCAAAUUCGUGGACACUUGAAUUUAAUGAGAUUUAUUUAAUUAAAUAUCAAAGAUAAAUGAGAACUUUAACAUAGAUGUAGGUAAGUGAAAUAAUUCCAAUGUUGGAAUCAUUUAUACACUUCAAUAAAAUAACACUGAAUCGAUUUAAAAAAAUAUUUAACAAUAGGAUGUAGUGAUGUGUCAAACUUAAGAAUAUUCUUUUUCAAUACCUACUUAAAAUCUGCCGUAUGUACACGGCACGGUAGGGUUAACAGUAUGCCAGUUUUAUUUCAGGUUCACAUGCAUAGCUACCUAAAAUUAUGGUGUAUCAUCACAAUUCAUUUGUAUGAGAUAUACAUGCGUUUAACAGAAUCAUCAAUCACCAUCUUCAAUCAAAUGAGAAUUGACCAAAUAAUAUACAUAGAUUGAUUAUUAGAAAGACAAAAUAUCCGUUGAACAAAUUCGGAUCCCAAUGGAAAUUAUUAUAUAACAUGGAAAAUUGCUUCACCUAAUCAUAUGUUCCUACUUCAUUACGACAACGACACCUAUCAUAUGCAAUGCAAGUAAUCACCAGACGGAGAUUGUACCUCUUCGCGUUGGUGUAAAUUGCUGCUUUAGAUAAUUAAAACUGCAAAAUAAAGGUUAAACCACAUUGAAUGGUGACACAUUUGGAUGAGUUAUGCAACUACGCGCUGCGAGAGCUUGGUUGAAAGAGAAUUACGUUAUGAGCGAUUGCACAAGUAUGUACGACGUAAUAAUCGUAACCAAGGUUUGAUAGUAUUAAAAUUUAAUUUCAUAAGGUUGUGAUCUAAUUUCGUUCAUACGUGCCAGCUGUAGUCAUAUUAUCUGUUAGCUGAAAAGUGUGCAAUUAUAUUUUGGUUAUAAACAGUUAAUGCAUGAACGGUUAGGCACUUUAUUACACUAGUAGACAAUUCUUUGAAUUUUUUAUAAUACAUACAUACAUAUAUAAUUAACAACGAUAAUGACAGUUAACUGUCGGUAAUAUAAUCGGCGUGAAAACGCCUUGUAUGCACUGCCAUUGUUUAGGCUGCUGAUAAUCCUGAGCGUCUGGCAUCUUUUGGUGCUUUGCUGGUUUGGCGAAGGUGGCAGGCUUAAAGGCAAAGUUCUGAAAGCACAUAGCAAGUGGAAUGUUCAAUUGUUCUCGAAGAUCAAGUGAUACGGUCCUGUCUGCUACGUAUGCACGUUUGCUUGACAAUUAUCAUCCCUUGCUGGCGUCAGCGGUGUUCGGUUGCAGUGCUUGAUCUCUGUUUUUAAGGGUUUGUACUCGCUAAGUAGCCGUGCAUUCGAAGUCAAAUAAACAAGCUUUCGUCUAACAAAUUAAGACUUAUGUAGGUACAAAUUAAUAGUCAACAAGUAUUAUAAAAAUACAUUUCUUUUUUAGAUCGAAAUGAAAUGUGUUCUCGUAAUAAUUAAUGAAAAAAGCAAUUUUCAUUUUUUUCUCGAACCUUCUUACAAUUCCAUAAGUACAAUGUUGUUUGUAGUUAGUAUGUCAAUCCUAUGUAGUCCUUAUUUUUAGGAAUGUUAGGAUAAUUGCCGUUUCUUACAGGCCUAAUAAUUUCCUAGUAAAACAUCUCAUAACUUUAAAUUAAUUUUAUUUGAACUCUUGUACUUGAAACAAAUGUACAACGCUGGUUGCGUAAACCUACAUAAAAUUACAAAAAAAUAUGAGCGAUAUUUAAUUAAACUUGGAGAAUACAUGAACUGGGUGGCGCACCUACAUAAAAUAACAUAAAUAUGAGGGAUAUUUAAACUUGAAGAAAGAAAUUGAAUAAAGAGGAAAAUACAAACAACGCUUAUCAACAAUUAUUGAGGAUGGACUUUUUUCCAUGACAUAUUUGUCACGUAAGUAAAAUUCUAAGCAAAACGAUCAUCAAAAUUGGUUUUAUAGUUGGAGAAUAUAUAUAAAAUUUCAUAAAUAUUACUUGGAUACCUAUUUCGGCAUUUAUAUAUGUGUCCUCCAGAAAUACACCAAAAUUAUGGUAUAUUUAAUAGAUUUUAUAAUCAAAUGGUACACUCGAAAAAAAGAAAUUUCUUAAGCAUAGAUGGACGUCAGGUGUGCGAGUCUAACUCGCACCUAACUGGUUUUUAUUUUUUCACAAGUCUAGGGGCUGUCGUUGAAAGAGUUCCCGCUGCUGAGCGCAUUAUUAAUUAUGCAAUAGGUCAACCUUGCAACAAGAGCGCACCUACCUACCAAGAAUGCACCACAAAUUUAAAAUCUAGGUAUCUAACUACCUACGCCAAAAGUACCUUGUAUACUAUAUAAAUGUGGAAUGACACUAUAUUUGCACGUAAAACAAUGUAAUGAGACCAUCUUUUUUACCUUGAUUUGCGACUCUCUCGAUCUCCUGGCUUUCCGGAUAUCCAAGUAAGUGUUAGCGCACUACAAUUUAUAAUCUUUUUAGUGCUUUAAUUGAGAGUUUUAUUCAUCACCUGUCUUUAAAUAUGUAUAAUUUUACAAUGGGAUUAUGUUGGAUAUUUCAUUAUAAGGGGUCUUAUUUUCCAGGAUUGGCUUUAAGACUAUAUAAUUCAGACAUGUUCUUCAUAAGAACAGAUAUCAUUGAGAAAACUAUAUUAUAGGUAGCUAGUAAAAAGUACUCAUAACCAUUCAAGGAAUGAUGCGUAUAUAUUAGAUGAUAUUUAUAAAAUACUAUAAUAUCUUUAAAUUGAUGGCGGUUACCUCGUGCUAGAUACCACUGAAACACCAUGUAUAAUAUGCGUAAAUUGUAUAUAAAAGGUAUACACCGUUAAAAAUUACGACAUUAAUCCUUUUUAUAUUUACAUUACAUGUACGCUAUUUAAUUUUAUUUAUAAAUAUACAUAUAUAUAUUUAUGUUCAAAUGAUUUUGGUUGUAAUUGUAAAGGUAUGUUUUUGUGCGAUACGUUUCUUUGGGCUUAUUCACAGAUACCCUACCGUCAUCGGCAUAUAUAGUAUAGUACUCGGCGUUUCUUGAUGUUCAUGGGCGUUGGUAGUGCUUAUCAUCAAGCGACCCUACAGCUCCUUUGCCGACUAUGACAUAAAACUUACUCUCCACUUUUAAGAUUUUCGCACUUAUUGCUACUCUUGCUUUAAUUUUGCUUUAGAAAUUUAUAUUCGAUAUUAAUUGUCUACUGUAAGUGAGGGCUGAGGGAGGCAGUUCAAUCUUAUUGUCGUGAUUACAUUCUAAAUUAUUUAAUAUGAUUUAUCUACUGAACCAAAACCAUAGUACACAAGAAUUCAAUUAUCAAUUGGUGGUGAGGGAUUGAACACCGUGCUCAACUGAGAUAGCUCCCACACUCGCCCACCCUGCUCUCCGCUGGAGGUGCGAGAUACAGCACCGCGCUCCACUCGGGUGGCUCCGGCGCUAUCGUCCACUCUGCUCAACGCCGGUGGUGCGGAUACGGUACCGCGCUCCACGCGGGUAGCUCCGGCGCUAUCUUCCACUCUGCUCUGCGCUGGUGGUGCG